rnacentral:rRNA from 1 species
UACGGAGGGUGCAAGCGUUAUCCGGAUUCACUGGGUUUAAAGGGUGCGUAGGUGGGCAAGUAAGUCAGUGGUGAAAUCUCCGGGCUUAACCCGGAAACUACCAUUGAUACUAUUUGUCUUGAAUACUGUGGAGGUCAGCGGAAUAUGUCAUGUAGCGGUGAAAUGCUUAGAUAUGACAUAGAACACCAAUUGCGAAGGCAGCUGGCUACACAAAUAUUGACACUGAGGCACGAAAGCGUGGGGAUCAAACAGG